rnacentral:rRNA from 1 species
AACAAGGUCUCCGUUGGUGAACCAGCGGAGGGAUCAUUACAGAGUUAUCUAACUCCCAACCCAUGUGAACUUACCUUUGUUGCCUCGGCGGGAGAGCCUACCCGGUACCUACCCUGUAGUUACCCGGGAGCGAGCUGCCCUGCAGCCCGCUGCUGGCCGACCCGCCGGUGGACAGUAAAACUCUUGUUUUUAGUGAAUUAUCUGAGUGUUUAUACUUAAUAAGUUAAAACUUUCAACAACGGAUCUCUUGGUUCUGGCAUCGAUGAAGAACGCAGCGAAAUGCGAUAAGUAAUGUGAAUUGCAGAAUUCAGUGAAUCAUCGAAUCUUUGAACGCACAUUGCGCCCAUUAGUAUUCUAGUGGGCAUGCCUGUUCGAGCGUCAUUUCAACCCUCAAGCCCCAGUUGCUUGGUGUUGGGAGCCUGCACCCCCCCGGGGGAGCAGCUCCUCAAAGCUAUUGGCGGAGUCGUAUUGGCCCUAAGCGUAGUAAUUUUUCCUCGCUUCUAGUGGUUCCAGUGCUGGCGUCCAGCCGUAAAACCCCUAAUUUUCUAGUGGUUGACCUCGGAUCAGGUAGGAAUACCCGCUGAACUUAAGCAUAUCAGUCAACGGCAUGCCUAGUAACGGCGAGUGAAGCGGCAACAGCUCAAAUUUGAAAUCUGGCCCUCUGGGUCCGAGUUGUAAUUUGUAGAGGAUGCUUUUGGUGCAGUGCCUUCCGAGUUCCUUGGAACAGGACGCCUUAGAGGGUGAGAGCCCCGUACGGUUGGACACUAAGCCUCUGUAAAGCUCCUUCGACGAGUCGAGUAGUUUGGGAAUGCUGCUCUAAAUGGGAGGUAAAUUUCUUCUAAAGCUAAAUACCGGCCAGAGACCGAUAGCGCACAAGUAGAGUGAUCGAAAGAUGAAAAGUACUUUGAAAAGAGGGUUAAAUAGCACGUGAAAUUGUUGAAAGGGAAGCGUUUAUGACCAGACCUUUGCCUAGCGGAUCAUCCGGUGUUCUUCACCGGUGCACUUCGCUAGGCUCAGGCCAGCAUCGGUUUCUGUAGGGGGACAAAGACCAUGGGAACGUAGCUCUCUCCGGGGAGUGUUAUAGCCCUAGGUGUAAUACCUUUACGGGGACCGAGGUUCGCGCUUCUGCAAGGAUGCUGGCGUAAUGGUCAUCAAUGACCCGUCUUGAAACCGGAACAAG